GGGGCUUGGCCCUUUAUAGACCUACGAUGUAAUAAUACCCUAACCACAUACCCACCAUACGACUGGAAUCACACAUACACUGCCACAAGAGGUCUGCAGUGAAGGUCCCAAAGUCCCAGACAAGUCCCCUCUUGUUGCCCAGGCUGGAGUGCAGCAGCAUGAUUACAGCUCACAUCAGCCUCGACCUCCCGGGCUCAAGCUAUCCUCCUACCUCAGCCUCCCAAGUAGCUGGGACUAUAGGUUCAAGUGAUUCUCCUGCCUCAGCUUCCCAAGUAGCUGGGACUACAGGCGUGUGCCACCACGACCAGAGGCCAGGUGCAGUGCAUGUAAUCCCAGCACUUUGGGAGACUGAGAUGGGAAGAUCGCUUGAGGCCAGGAGUGCAAGACCAGCCUGGGCAACACAGCAAGACCUUGAUUCUACUAAAAAAAAAAAAGGAUCCUUCAACUUCAACAAUAAUAACACAAGGGAAGUGAAGAAAAACACUUUCUAAGGAAAUCUCUCUCUGAGCUACCAUCCUGCUAGGGAGAGCCUGAAAGCAGAAUGCUGACUUGACUAGCUCUGGUCAAUGAAAGAAAUCACCAGUGGAAAGGCUACCAGGGGGCUUUCUCAAAAGAGAGGGACAGUAAACUGCAAGAUGAACAACUCAAUGCCAUCCAGGUCUGGAUGAGAAAGAACAGUCGAGAGACUGAGUUUCAGGAGUGGAAACACUCAAAGCAUCAUCUUCCACUUUCUUCUCCGGCUGCUAGGAAGAAGGGAAAAACACAGACCUUCUGAGGACCUGCGGAGCAAACCACUGGCUUCAGAAAAGCAAACAGGGACUUCCCUCUGCGCAGCAGGAAGCAGUUAGCCUAGUCGGAGGCUUGACUGAAGAAACAAAUGAGGGAAGGCAGAAGUUGAGACGCAGCCAGUAGAGGAAACUCCGGGAGAGGCAGGCAGCGUCACUUGAAGAAAAGCUCUAUUGUGAUGGGAACAAUCACAGGAACUAAGCGGCAACAAAAUGGCUCCCCACCCCCUCUGCAAAUCCCAACUCCAUGCAAGCACUCUCCCUUCCCUCAUUUUCUUUUCUUUUUUUUUGAGAUGGAGUCUCGCUCUGUUGCCCAGGCUGGAGUGCAGUAGCGCGAUCUCGGCUCACUGCAACCUCCACCUUCUGGUUUCAAGCAAUUCUCCUGCCUCAGCCUCCCCAGUAGCUGGGACUACAGGCGUGUGCCACCACGCCUGGCUAAUUUUUUUUUUUAAUUUUUAGUAGAGACAGAGUUUCACCAUGUUGGCCAGGCUGGUCUCGAACUCCUGGCCUCAAGUGAUCCACCUGCCUCAGCCUCCCAAAGUGGUGGGAUUACAGGUGUAAGCGACCACGCCCGGCCUUUUAAAAUCGACUUGAGUCUCAUCUCCUGAAAUGCAAAAUGCAUUGGGCCUGUCUCUUACUUCUGCAUGUCUCAUAAUGCUUAGCACAGCACAAGCCCCGAGAGCGCAUCAUACACCCUGGGGUGGGGAGCUCCUGGCAGGGCUGGAUCCACUCACCAUUCCUGCCAUCCAUUGGCACUUGGCUCAGCACAGUUAGGCCAACAAGGACAUAAUAGACAAGUCCAAAACAGUACUGCACGACGUGAAUCAUGACAUUGGAGAAGACACUGACGUAGAGGCACUCGAAGAGUCUUCGUAAGCUGUGCAGCCACAGAAAUACUAGCACUAAGAAUGCAGACAGUGCCAGCUCCCCUCCUACAAUUCAGAAGGCAACAGGGUCAGCAUUUCUCUUCUGGGAUUAAUCCAAAGUUUUGUUUUUCUGUACUGUUAAGCAAAGUAUUAAAUCCCAUCUAACAUC
rnacentral:lncRNA from 1 species